AACGGAGGGGGCAAGCGUUACUCGGAAUCACUGGGCGUAAAGGGCGCGUAGGCGGCUUAGCAAGUCUGGUGUGAAAGCCCAGGGCUCAACCCUGGAAGGGCACUGGAAACUGUUAGGCUUGAGUUCCGGAGAGGAGGGGGGAAUUCCCGGUGUAGCGGUGAAAUGCGUAGAUAUCGGGAGGAAUACCGGUGGGGAAGGCGCCCCUCUGGACGGAAACUGACGCUGAGGCGCGUGAGCGUGGGGAGCAAACAGG
rnacentral:rRNA from 1 species